rnacentral:siRNA from 1 species
AUAUGGACUUCGGCUAAUCCAUCA